rnacentral:rRNA from 1 species
AUUGAACGCUGGCGGCAGGCCUAACACAUGCAAGUCGAGCGGAUGAAGGGAGCUUGCUCCCUGAUUCAGCGGCGGACGGGUGAGUAAUGCCUAGGAAUCUGCCUGAUAGUGGGGGACAACGUUUCGAAAGGAACGCUAAUACCGCAUACGUCCUACGGGAGAAAGCAGGGGACCUUCGGGCCUUGCGCUAUCAGAUGAGCCUAGGUCGGAUUAGCUAGUUGGUGAGGUAAUGGCUCACCAAGGCGACGAUCCGUAACUGGUCUGAGAGGAUGAUCAGUCACACUGGAACUGAGACACGGUCCAGACUCCUACGGGAGGCAGCAGUGGGGAAUAUUGGACAAUGGGCGAAAGCCUGAUCCAGCCAUGCCGCGUGUGUGAAGAAGGUCUUCGGAUUGUAAAGCACUUUAAGUUGGGAGGAAGGGUUGCUGAUUAAUACUCUGCAAUUUUGACGUUACCGACAGAAUAAGCACCGGCUAACUCUGUGCCAGCAGCCGCCGCCG